rnacentral:rRNA from 1 species
AUUGAACGCUGGCGGCAGGCCUAACACAUGCAAGUCGAGCGGUAACACAGGGAGCUUGCUCCCGGGUGACGAGCGGCGGACGGGUGAGUAAUGUCUGGGAAACUGCCUGAUGGAGGGGGAUAACUACUGGAAACGGUAGCUAAUACCACAUAACGUCGCAAGACCAAAGAGGGGGACCUUCGGGCCUCUUGCCAUCAGAUGUGCCCAGAUGGGAUUAGCUAGUAGGUGGGGUAACGGCUCACCUAGGCGACGAUCCCUAGCUGGUCUGAGAGGAUGACCAGCCACACUGGAACUGAGACACGGUCCAGACUCCUACGGGAGGCAGCAGUGGGGAAUAUUGCACAAUGGGCGCAAGCCUGAUGCAGCCAUGCCGCGUGUAUGAAGAAGGCCUUCGGGUUGUAAAGUACUUUCAGCGGGGAGGAAGGCGAUAAGGUUAAUACCUUGUCGAUUGACGUUACCCGCAGAAGAAGCACCGGCUAACUCCGUGCCAGCCGCCGCGGUAA